UACGUAGGUCCCGAGCGUUGUCCGGAUUUAUUGGGCGUAAAGCGAGCGCAGGUGGUUUAUUAAGUCUGGUGUAAAAGGCAGUAGCUCAACCAUUGUAUGCAUUGGAAACUGGUAGACUUGAGUGCAGGAGAGGAGAGUGGAAUUCCAUGUGUAGCGGUGAAAUGCGUAGAUAUAUGGAGGAACACCGGUGGCGAAAGCGGCUCUCUGGCCUGUAACUGACACUGAGGCUCGAAAGCGUGGGGAGCAAACAGG
rnacentral:rRNA from 1 species